ACUAUCACCCUUCAACAUGCUUUUAAUUACAGCUGCUGCCAUUCCACCUGAUACACUCCGCUGUCGACACGUCGCUGAAGCACGUGGGCCUCCAAUUUUUGCUGCCAACUCACAGCAGGCAACACAGAUUGUAUAACCGAAGCUACAAAAGAUAAAAAGACAAGGCUUCUCAGCGAAGCUUUCACUCCCGCGAUUGCAAGGACAUCUAUUCAAUUUUCAAAUUUCAAAUUAGUGAAAGACUACACGCAAACAUCAGGAAUUCAAAUUUGAUAAAUUGGAUUCAAAAGAUAGAGGAUGCAUAUAUGUCGCUAUAGGUGCUGCUAUCUCCUUUUUCUUUCUUUCUUUUUUCCAUAAUCCCUCUUAAGUUUCUAUGUUUUUUAUUUGUAAUAUUUCAUCUGUUUAAUUUCUGUUUGAACCAUUAUAUUUCUGAAGAUUUUUUAUCUUUUAGUUGCAGGUGAAAUUUUCGUUCUUCAAGUGUUUGAUGAUUUGCGUGAAAGAAAAGAAUGAUAGUUUGUCAAUUUUUGAUCUUUCUUUAUAUAUGGUUAUGUUUUGGUUAUUAAAGUUUUUGCUUAUUACAAAUUAAAUUGUGGAGGAAGGCAUUGAAAAUGAAAAUCACUGAGUGAUGGAGUUGAUUUUGUCUAUAACCUGUCUAAUAACUUUGAUCUAUUUUCAGCAGUUGAACUUCGUCCGGAAUCUGUUUGAUAAUUUGCUCAAAAGAACAAGAUUGAUGAAUAUAUCAUUAUUCAAUUAACUUUUGUGUGCGACUAUGUUAUCUGAAUGAUCCUGUAUCAACGAAGACAACAAUAGAUGAAGAAGGUUGGUUGCACACUGGAGACAUAGGCUUCAUCAACGAGGAUGAUGAGCUAUUUAUUGUUAAUAGAUUGAAGGAAAUUAUCAAAUAUAAAGGCUUUCAAGUAGCCCUGGCCGAAAUUUCAGCUCUGCUACUUACUCAUCCUACAAUUUCAGAUGCUGCAGUUGUUCCCAUGAUCGAUGAGAAAGCUGGAGAGGUGCCUGUAGCGUUUGUUGUGAGAUUAAACGGUUUCACCACCACUGAGGAAGAAAUCAAGCAAUUUGUCUCAAAAUAGCUAUGUUUGUCGACUUCGGCCUGGCAAAGGAAAGAAAUGGAGGCUGCUAUCUAAGGUGAUAAUAUUUUACCCCCAAGUAAUGGUUGUAAAUGUAUUAUCUUUUCUUUGAGUACUUUGUAAAGGUAUUGUACUUUGGACUAUUCUGAAAAUGAAAUGCUUGAAACUGGAAUGGUAAUAAUGCCUAUGCAGAAAGUAUGUUCCAACAAACUAAUUGAAGACUGAGGAAACCGGAGUAAAAAACAUAUAAUAAAAGCAGGGAAGUGGAAGAGAUUGCAAUGUGGUAGAAGUUGUAGAUUGUUUGCAUAUUACAACUUGCCCUUUUGCAGGUUCUGCAAAGUCUAUGCUAUCCGGAAAGAAUGUUGUAGAAGCUAAUAGAUUUGUCAAAGAACUAAGUAGCUUGAGUUUGAAACCUCCAAGCACAGGCCUAGAAAUUCCAAAAUUGAUUGCAAGGCGUAUGGCAGAUUUAUGUGGUGAAGUUAGUUAUCAACUUCCAUCCUCAAUCCAAUUACUUCCAUCCCCUGCAAUUCUUUUCUAGCGCUGAUCCUGAAAUGGUUAAAGCAAACUAUAGUUGUUCAUGUGUUAAUAUUAUUGGCAUUGCUAGAGCUCCACACAGCGAUGGAAAGGAAGCUAUUGUCUCGGUAACACCUUACAAUUCUACAGAUAUUAGUUUGGAUGGGAGAUCUUUCUGCUGAGGUUAGUGAGGAGAAUCGCGUUGCUGCUCAGGAGGACAAGGGGAAGGCUGUAAAAGCAAUUUCUGAAGACUGACUGAGAGCCCACUUACACUUCACUUAAGUGAAGAUUACCCCAGCAAGUCUCCUAAGUGCAAGUUUCCAGCUGAUUUUUUCCACCAUAAGGUUUACCCUUCUAAAACUGUGUGUCUAUCCAUUCUCGAUGAAGACAGUGCGAGUAAACUUUGUAACUUGACAUAUGUUAAUAAAUUGUGUGGAGCUAAUUACUAACUGUAUUGGAACUUGGUUUCAGGGGGCCAGCAAUUAUAUUGAAGCAGAUUCUAUUUGGUAUCGAGGAUUAAUAAAUUUUAAUUAUACGUGUAAAAAUGUGGUGGCAAAGCCUCAGAAUGUUAUAAAAACUCAUCUGUUAAGCAACAUUUUCCCUGCAAGUUAUGCCACAUGCUUCAAAUAACGCCUGAUAUAGUGGUGCAAAUCUGAUAUAAAGUCCGCACAAGUUUGAGGGACUUGAGAAAAAGAAAUCAUAGUCCCUGAGAUUUCAAUUUUCUUUUGUUGUAGAAUGCUGUGGUUCCCACUACUAAUAGUGACGUUGCUGUUCAGCAUUACUUCAGCUGAUCAAGCAUUAAUUGAUAUUAUUUGCUCCAGUACUAAUAACCAAACUCUAUGCUUACAAGUUCUCAAGGAUUUAGCUGGUGCUGACCGCGUAAGUCUUAAGACAAUUGCGGCUGAUGGAGCACUGGGACAGGUAACCGCUACAAGGGAUCAGGUCGGGAGAAAGUAGAAGCAAGAAGCAGAGAAAGCUUUAAAGCAAAGAUUAGCCUGUGAAGACAGAUUAGUCAUUAUGGAUGCUUCUCUGAAGGAGUGUAUGCAGCAGUUGCGUUUUGCGCGAGAAGAGCAAGAAAAUAGGAUUUACGAUGCUAUUCUGAAGACAUCAAGAGAAUAUGAAGAAAUGAUAAUUGUGUUAGAAGAAAGGUUGGCGGAAACCAGUCAAAGAGUCACCAUGUUAGUUUCUCAGAAUAAUUCAGUUUACUGUUGAUUCAACACACCUCCAUGUUGAUACCUUUCAAGUACUUUCCCCUGUCAAUCUGCUAUGAAAUGCAUAGUAAAAGAAAAGUUGUAGAAAAUUUGUUCCUUUAGACGAAUAAUAGUUACAUAUUUUUGUUUUGUUGCUUU